CCUAAUUGACCAUGAAACUAGUUCUUACUUGAAGACCAAGCUUAUGACCUCAUGGAUCAAUCAACCAUGACAAGCCUAGUAGGAGGUGUCAUCUUGCAUGAAGCUUAACGCACAAUAGGUUUCCCAAGUAGAAGAAAAAACUGCUGAGCAGCCAACCAAGUGCAUGGCAAAAUCACCCAGCCAACUUAGAUGGUGGGCGCUAGGCACACGACAAAGGGCGCUAGUAACACGACAAAGGGCGCUAGGCACAC
rnacentral:lncRNA from 1 species